rnacentral:rRNA from 1 species
AUUGAACGCUGGCGGCAGGCUUAACACAUGCAAGUCGAACGAGAGGCGGACGGGUGAGUAAUGCUUGGGAAUCUAGCUGAUGGAGGGGGAUAACUACGGGAAACUGUAGCUAAUAACGCGUACCAUAGGAUGAGCCCAAGUUGGAUGAGGUAGUUGGUGAGGUAAAGGCUCACCAAGCCGACGAUCUCUAGCUGGUCUGAGAGUAUGACCGGCCACACUGGGACUGAGACACGGCCCAGCCUCCUACGGGCGGCAGCAGUGGGGAAUAUUGCGCAAUGGGGGCAACCUGACGCAGCCAUGCCGCGUGAAUGAAGAAGGCCUGCGGGUUUUAAAGUUCUUUCGGUAGCGAGGCGUUAACUACAGAAGAAGCACCGGCUAACUCCGUGCCAGCCGCCGCGGUAAUAC